rnacentral:tRNA from 1 species
GGAGAGAUGGCUGAGCGGCUGAAGGUACUCGCUUGGAAAGCGAGCGUACUGUAACAGGUACCGCGGGUUCGAACCCCGCUCUCUCCGCCA